CCUUCAAGCCUGUCUUCGAUAUACAACGGCUACUCUCAAAGAGACCGAGAGGGAUGAAUUAUGAGCAGAGGCUCGCGGCAGCCACAAUGAUCAUCGAAUCGAAAUCACACGGAGAAAGCGGUUAUGCAACUUCGCCUUUUGACGCCACAGAAAUCGGCGUCACGGCGACGCUGAAACCUCACCAACUUGAAGGCAUCUCGUGGCUUAUACAGAGAUAUCACCUCGGUGUUAAUGUUAUCCUCGAUGGGAUUAGGGAAGACCUUGCAAGCCAUCUCUUUCUUAAGUUAUUUGAAGGUUCAUCAGAAGUCACCUGGACCAUAUUUGGUGUUGUGCCCUUUAAGUGUGACAGAUGGAUGGGUGUCAGAGAUAGACAAAUUCACCCCCAAACUGAAAGUCCUUAGGUAUGUCGGUGAGAAAGAACACCAGCGCAGUUUGCGCAAGACAAUACAUGAACAUGUGAAAGAGAGUCCUUCAUCAUCCAACGUAUCAUUGUUGCCUUUUGAUGUGCUAUUGACAACAUAUGACAUUGCAUUAGUGGAUCAAGAAUUUUUGUCACAGAUUCCAUGGCACUAUGCUAUAGUAGAUGAAGCUCAAAGACUUAAAAAUCCUAAGAGCGUUCUUUAUAAUGUUCUCAUAGACCAGUUCCUCAUGCCAAGACGGUUGUUGAUGACUGGCACACCCAUCCAGAAUAAUCUCACUGAACUUUGGGCUCUGAUGCAUUUUUGUAUGCCUUUAGUGUUUGGAACCCUGGAUCAGUUCCUUUCCACGUUCAGGGAAGCUGCUGAUGCUUCAUCAGAUCAUGAUGCAACAAAGGUCAAGCGGCAGUUCAAGACUUUAAAAAGUAUAUUGAAAUCCUUCAUGCUUCGAAGAACAAAAUCUAGGCUUAUAGAAUGUGGAAACCUAGUGCUGCCAUCAUUGACUGAGAUUACUGUGAUGGCUCCACUGGUCAGCCUGCAAAAGAAAGUUUAUACCUCAAUAUUGAGGAAGGAGCUUCCAAAACUUCUUGCGCUGUCUUCUUCAGCUUCCAAUCAUCAAUCUCUGCAGAAUAUGGUAAUACAACUAAGAAAAGCAUGCAGCCACCCUUACCUCUUUCCUGGUAUUGAGCCUGAGCCAUAUGAAGAGGGUGAACACCUAGUUAAGGCCAGUGGGAAACUUAUAAUUUUGGACCAACUACUUGAGAAGCUACAUGAUUCUGGACAUCGUGUGCUUCUCUUUGCUCAAAUGACUCACACACUAGACAUUUUACAGGAUUUUCUAGAGCUUCGAAAGUAUUCAUAUGAGCGUCUUGAUGGUUCAGUUCGAGCUGAGGAGCGUUUUGCUGCAAUAAGAAGUUUUAGUGGACAGUCAGGGAGGUCUGGUUCUGAAUCUGAUCAAAAUAGCUCUUUUGUUUUUAUGAUAUCUACAAGAGCUGGAGGAGUUGGCUUGAAUCUCGUGGCUGCAGAUACGGUUAUAUUCUAUGAGCAAGAUUGGAAUCCUCAGGUUGACAAACAGGCUUUGCAGCGAGCACACAGGAUUGGUCAAAUGAACCAUGUCCUGUCAAUAAACUUAGUUACAAGGCAUUCUGUGGAGGAGGUUAUUAUGCAAAGAGCAAAGAGGAAAUUGCAGCUUAGCCAUGAUGUUGUAGGAGAUGAUGUCAUGGAAGAGGACAGAAAAGAAACAGGAGGAAUUGAAACUGGUGAUUUGCGAUCUAUCAUAUUUGGGUUACAUAGGUUUGAUCCUUCGGAGGUCAACAGUGAAAAAUCAAAUGAAUUAAAUGCCUCAGAAUUGAAAGCUUUGGCACAGAAAGUAAUUGCUCUGCGAUGUGACCAGAUAUUGGACAAAGAUGAUAGAAAGUUUGAGGUCAAUCCUAUUGGUCAAGAAAAAGGACUUGAUUUUGUUAGUGGAGGAGAAUCUGCUCUUGCAAGCUAUGAUCCUGGUCUUGAUGAGGCAUCAUAUCUAUCAUGGGUUGAAAAAUUCAAGGAAACAUCACAAUCAAAUGAAAAUCUGGUUAUGGAUUUGGGAAAUAGAAGGAACUUGCCUGAUAAUAAGUAUCUUAAUCUUGAGGCUGCAAAGAAAAAGGCAGAGGAGAAAAAGUUGUCAAAGUGGGAGGCCCUUGGAUACCAUUCAUUAUCUGUUGGGGAUCCCAUCUACCCUGUAGAUGGGGAUGCAUUGUCAGACUCAGGUUUUGUUCAUUUUGUUGUUGGGGAUUGUACACAUCCAGAUAAGCUCUGCUCGUCUGAGCCCAGUGUCAUAUUCAGUUGUGUAGAUGAGUCAGGAAAUUGGGGCCAUGGAGGAAUGUUCGAUGCACUGGCCAAACUGUCUUCAAGUAUCCCUGCUGCAUAUCAACAAGCCUCUGAAUUUAGGGACCUUCAUCUUGGUGAUGUCCAUCUUGUAAAAAUUAUUGAGAAUACUGAUGGGCAGAACAUGGAAGGUGAUACUCCACGGUGGGUUGCUUUGGCUGUUGUACAAUCUUAUAAUCCUAGGCGCAAAGUGCCUCGUAGUGAGAUCUCUAUUCCUGACUUGGAGGCUUGCCUGUCCAAGGCGUCUUUUGCUGCAGCUCAAAAUUCAGCCUCAAUCCACAUGCCUCGUAUUGGUUAUCAAGAUGGAACAGAUCGCUCACAGUGGUAUACUGUUGAACGUCUUCUACGAAAAUAUGCUUCUGUUUUUGGAAUAAAGAUCCACGUGUAUUAUUAUCGACGAUCAUCUUGAGGCUUGUGCUCUGUCCUCUGAUACCAUGGCCGCUCAGUUGUAGCUCAAAGAACAGAGUAGAAAUCGUUAUGUUUUUGUAUGAUUUAGCCUUUCUGUAAACAGUAAACUUUUUUACAGCUGGGUCAUCUGUUGGAAGCGAAUGAAUUAUGGGUUCACUUAUGUGUGAACCAAAUAGAAGCGAGGCUCAGCUAAUGUUUUUGACAGACUGUUCAGUUCCGUUUCCACCCAGCCCCGGUUAGCAGUCAUUGAACCCAGGGGGCAUUUAAAUUGGAGCAUUCAAGCGGUUUACCAGGAACACGAAAAUCUAGAUCAAGCAAGUCUUUUCUUGAUUACAUCGGUUUUGUUCAAGAGUUCAGACCAUCUGUUACAUUUCACGUCUCUUACUUUGGAUUUUAGAAUUCAAUUUUUUUCAGCUCUCAAUAAAAUGCUGUAGCAGUACUUGUCUGGAUGA